GCGGGCGUAGCACAAUGGCAGUGCGCGUGCUUGCCAAGCACGAUACGGCGGUUCGAUCCCGCUCGCCCGCU
rnacentral:tRNA from 3 species